rnacentral:rRNA from 1 species
CCUACGGGUGGCAGCAGUGAGGAAUAUUGGUCAAUGGCCGAGAGGCUGAACCAGCCAAGUCGCGUGAGGGAUGACGGCCCUACGGGUUGUAAACCUCUUUUGUCGGGGAGUAAAGAGAGUCACGUGUGGCUCAUUGAGAGUACCCGAUGAAAAAGCAUCGGCUAACUCCGUGCCAGCAGCCGCGGUAAUACGGAGGAUGCGAGCGUUAUCCGGAUUUAUUGGGUUUAAAGGGUGCGCAGACGGAGGUGAAAGUCAGUGGUCAAAUUUCGGGGCUCAACCCCGUAUUGCCGUUGAAACUGCAAGCCUUGAGUGCGCGUGAGGUAGGCGGAAUGCGUGGUGUAGCGGUGAAAUGCUUAGAUAUCACGAAGAACUCCGAUUGCGAAGGCAGCAUACCGGCGCGCAACUGACGCUCAUGCACGAAAGCGUGGGUAUCGAACAGGAUUAGAUACCCGUGUAGUC